rnacentral:rRNA from 1 species
UUAGUGGCGAACGGGUGAGUAACACGUGAGCUACCUACCUUUCAGUGGGGGACAACAUUUGGAAACAGAUGCUAAUACCGCAUAAGACCACGACCGGGCAUCCGGUUGAGGCCAAAGGAGCAAUUCGCUGAAAGAUGGGCUCGCGCCUGAUUAGCUAGAUGGUGGGGUAAUGGCCUACCAUGGCAACGAUCAGUAGCCGGACUGAGAGGUUGAACGGCCACAUUGGGACUGAGACACGGCCCAGACUCCUACGGGAGGCAGCAGUGGUGAAUAUUGCACAAUGGACGAAAGUCUGAUGCAGCGACGCCGCGUGAGGGAAGAAGGUUUUCGGAUUGUAAACCUCUGUCUUCGGGGACGAUAAUGACGGUACCCGAGGAGGAAGCCACGGCUAACUACGUGCCAGCAGCCGCGGUAAAACGUAGGUGGCAAGCGUUGUCCGGAAUUACUGGGUGUAAAGGGAGCGCAGGCGGAAUGGUAAGUUGGACGUGAAAUCUAUGGGCUCAACCCAUAGCGUGCGUUCAAAACUAUUGUUCUUGAGUGAUG